AGCUUUGCACAGUGGCAGUAUCGUAGCCAAUGAGGUUUAUCUAAGGCGUGAUUAUUGCUAAUUGAAAACUUGAAACCUCAAAGCCC
rnacentral:snRNA from 1 species